GAUGAACGCUAGCGGCAGGCUUAAUACAUGCAAGUCGAGGGGCAGCGGGAGUAGCAAUACUUGCCGGCGACCGGCGCACGGGUGCGUAACACGUAUGUAAUCUGCCCAUCACAGGAGGAUAGCCCGGAGAAAUUCGGAUUAAUACUCCAUAAUAGAAGAUAAAGCAUUUUAUUUUCUUGAAAGUUCCGACGGUGAUGGAUGAACAUGCGACUGAUUAGUUUGUUGGUGAGGUAACGGCUCACCAAGACUACGAUCAGUAGGGGUACUGAGAGGUUAAACCCCCACACUGGUACUGAGACACGGACCAGACUCCUACGGGAGCAGCAGUAAGGAAUAUUGGGCAAUGGACGAAAGUCUGACCCAGCCACGCCGCGUGAAGGAUGACUGCCCUAUGGGUUGUAAACUUCUUUUGUAUGGGAAGAAAAUUCCGAACGUGUUCGGAGCUGACGGUACCAUAAGAAUAAGCAUCGGCUGACUCCGUGCCAGCAGCCG
rnacentral:rRNA from 1 species